AGCUUUGCGCAGUGGCAGUAUCGUAGCCAAUGAGGUUUAUCCGAGGCGCGAUUAUUGCUAAUUGAUUAUUGCUAAUUGAAUCUUGUCUAAUCUUUACAAAAUAGAAGCCUGUGACUGUGUGACUGUGUUUGGAGAUA
rfam:Dipodomys ordii contig_8070, whole genome shotgun sequence.